rnacentral:rRNA from 1 species
UACGUAGGCAGCGAGCGUUGUUCGGAAUUACUGGGCGUAAAGAGUGUGUAGGCGGUGUUCCCAGUCUGUUGUGAAAUCUCCCGGCUCAACUGGGAGGGUGCGCCGAAUACUGAAUGACUAGAGUGCGGGAGAGGAUAGUGGAAUUCCUGGUGUAGCGGUGAAAUGCGUAGAUAUCAGGAGGAACACCGGUGGUGUAGACGGCUAUCUGGACCGUAACUGACGCUGAGGCACGAAAGCGUGGGUAGCAAACAGG